rnacentral:rRNA from 1 species
UUAAGAUUUUAAAUAUAAUAUUGCCUGAGUACUACGAAUAAUAAAUUUUAUUUACGUUUGAUUUAAAACUCAAAAAGCUUGGCGGUGUUUUAGACUACUCAGGGGAACCUGUCCCUUAAUCGACAGUCCACGUAAGACCUGACUCUAUUUGGUAUAGUAUGUAUACCGUCGUCGGCAGGUAACUUUUUAAAAAAUAGAAGUUAGCGAAAUAAAAAUCUUGUUUUUUAUGUCAGAUCAAGGUGCAACUUAUAAUAGAGAGAGGAUGGGUUACAAUUAAUAGGUAAUUUUUAACUAUGGAGGCAUUAAUGAAAUUUUUUGCUGAAGGAGGACUUGAAAGUAAGAAAUUAUUAUAUAGAUUUUCUGAAUAUAGCUCUGAAACGUGCACACAUCGCCCGUCGCUCUCGUUGAAAAAUGAGAUAAGUCGUAACAUAGUAGGGGUAACGGAAGUUGUUCCUAGAUGA